UUGGCCUCGGAUCAGGCGG
rnacentral:rRNA from 1 species